UACGAAGGGGGCGAGCGUUGUUCGGAAUCACUGGGCGUAAAGGGCGCGUAGGCGGCCCUCUUAGUCGCGUGUGAAAGCCCCGGGCUCAACCUGGGAACGGCGCGCGAAACGGGAGGGCUGGAGUUCGGGAGAGGAGAGUGGAAUUCCCGGUGUAGCAGUGAAAUGCGUAGAGAUCGGGAGGAACAUCAGUUGCGGAAGGCGGCUCUCUGGACCAGCACUGACACUGAGGCACGAAAGCGUGGGGAGCAAACAGGAUUAGAUGACCCGUCGUCGACG
rnacentral:rRNA from 1 species